CACGACAGACGGGCUCCAUCCAAGUUUCUACGACAGUCGACCGCCUUCUGGGUUUCAUCCGGGCUCCUACGGGAGUCGAACUUCUUCCUCGAACUCCUACUGCAGGUAGACUUCGUCGAGCUCCUACGGGAGCCAGACUUUAGCCCUGAGCUCCCAUUGCAGGUAGACCUCAUCCAAAUUCUUACAAGGGUCGGACUCCGAGCCCCCACCACAA
rnacentral:lncRNA from 1 species